rnacentral:rRNA from 1 species
UAGGGAAUCUUCGGCAAUGGGGGGAACCCUGACCGAGCAACGCCGCGUGAGUGAAGAAGGUUUUCGGAUCGUAAAGCUCUGUUGUUAAGGAAGAACGAGUGUGAGAAUGGAAAGUUCAUACUGUGAAGGUACUUAACCAGAAAGGGACGGCUAACUACGUGCCAGCAGCCGCGGUAAUACGUAGGUCCCGAGCGUUGUCCGGAUUUAUUGGGCGUAAAGCGAGCGCAGGCGGUUAGAUAAGUCUGAAGUUAAAGGCAGUGGCUCAACCAUUGUAGGCUUUGGAAACUGUUUAACUUGAGUGCAGAAGGGGAGAGUGGAAUUCCAUGUGUAGCGGUGAAAUGCGUAGAUAUAUGGAGGAACACCGGUGGCGAAAGCGGCUCUCUGGUCUGUAACUGACGCUGAGGCUCGAAAGCGUGGGGAGCGAACAGG